GCCAAAACUGACUGUCACUGAACAAACAAACAAGUAUUUGUAUUGUUGUCAUUCCUAAUGCAUUAUUUGCAUUAUUUACUGGUUGUACAUUAUAAAUCUACAGUAGCUACUGUAUAUAUUUUGCCUGCUGCAAUAAUGUCUAUACAAAUCCUGCAUUUUUGCAACUGAAAUUAAGCAAAACUGAAAUCUAUCUAUCUAUCUAUCUAUCUAUCUAUCUAUCUAUCUAUCUAUCUAUCUAUCUAUCUAUCUAUCUAUCUAUCUAUCUAUCUAUCUAUCUAUCUAUCUAAUUAUCAUUUUAGUUUCAAUGCAAUUUCAUUCUUCUUCCUUGCAUUAAAAUUUUAAUUGCAAUUUUGCAUCUCUUCUGCUAUCUCAAUCCCAAAUUCAGUUCACAUUCAGGAACUGAUAUGGAAUUUGAAAGGUAUUCUGAAUUCUAUUAUAUUCUAUUUAUCUACAAUAAGAGUUAGGCUGAAUUUUUACUAUUACUUGGUGGAAGAAUUGUUAAUUAUUUUUAAGGAAUAGUUCCCCCAAAAAUUCAAAUUUGCUGAAAUUUUACUCACCCUCAGGCCAUUCAAGAUGUAGAUGAGUUUGUUUCUUCAUCAGAAUAGAUUUGGAAAAAUUCAGCAUUACAUCACUUGCUCAUCAAUGAAUUCUCUCUGCAGUGAAUGGGUGCUGUCGGAAUAAGAGUCUAAACAGCUGAUAAAAACAUCACAACAAUCCACAAGUAGUCUCUAGAUGGAGAAAGCACUCACAAGCAGCUCUAUCGUGAACAGAGAACAGCACACACACUGAAUGACAGGCUGUGAGUCUGACCUUUGACUGUCUUCCACAGUCCACCAAAGGUAGUAAAUCAACCUCUUCUUUCAGCUCCAAAAUCUGUGCGACCAUCGUGAUGAAAGGAGCUCCAUCCUCCUGCUUUGUCCAAUGAGACGUUAAAUGCUGUUGUUAACAUGAUGGACGCUCAUCAACACAGGGAACGGCGGCCGGUGAGAGCUGUAACAGACGUGCGAGGUUAUCAGGUUUCUCAAACACUUCCGCCGCCUGCCAUUGGUCAGCAAAACGGAUAGCCCCGCCCCAAGCUAACACCAUUGGUCGAGUUUGUCAAGGCCUUAUAAAACACAGAAGACAAUGCUUUCACAAAACCAGCCAUGAUUUAUAGUUGUGUCAACAUAUUAUACUGUGACAGAAGA
ensembl:lncRNA